CGCGCGGGUUCUCCUUCCGCCACUUCCUCCUAACUUCCUGGGAGCUGCAGGCCGCUCAGUCCGGAACGGAAAGUCCGAGGCCACUAGUCACUUGUCAGAGAUUCUGCGUGUGCGACCCAUUUCCGGACAUGCGCAGUCAGCGUGCGCGGCGCCCCUUCGACGCCUAGGGAGCGGCCAGGCGGGUCCGCGGGCGGCUGGUGGUAGGGACACGUGUUCGAGACAGGUUGUUAGUUGUUUUUGUGUAACAGGACACUGUAAGCUCCUCACCGUUGGCGUUUAAAGUUCCACGAUCCUUAUCUCGUGCUUUCCCACCAAGGGAAAGGAGAGAAAAGCAACAGGAAGUGCACAGGAUUGGAGAGUGGUUGCCAUUAACCUGCUAUCUGAAUUUCACCGACCCCUUCCCCUAUCUGGGCCAUGGGACAUUCGUUAGUAAAACAAAUCGGUUACAAUAAAUGACCCGUGUUGCAGUGACCUAUUGCGUCAGAAU